rnacentral:rRNA from 1 species
CCUACGGUUGGCAGCAGUGGGGAAUAUUGGGCAAUGGAGGCAACUCUGACCCAGCAACGCCGCGUGAAUGAUGAAGGUCUUCGGAUUGUAAAGUUCUUUUCUAAGGGAAGAAGAAAGUGACGGUACCUUAGGAAUAAGCCUCGGCUAACUACGUGCCAGCAGCCGCGGUAAUACGUAGGAGGCAAGCGUUAUCCGGAAGGACUGGGCGUAAAGGGUGCGUAGGUGGUUUGACAAGUUAGUAGCGCAACUCCGGAGCUCAACUUCGGAACUACUACUAAAACUGUAUGGCUUGAGUACUGGAGAGGCAGGCGGAAUUCCUAGUGUAGCGGUGAAAUGCGUAGAUAUUAGGAGGAACACCAGUGGCGAAGGCGGCCUGCUGGACAGAAACUGACGUUGAGGCUCGAAAGCGUGGGGAGCAAACAGGAUUAGAUACCCUUGUAGUC